GAUGAAGAACGCAGCGAAAUGCGAUACGUAAUGUGAAUUGCAGAAUUCAGUGAAUCAUCGAGUCUUUGAACGCACAUUGCGCCCCCUGGUAUUCCGGGGGGCAUGCCUGUCCGAGCGUCAUUGCUGCCCUCAAGCACGGCUUGUGUGUUGGGCCUCCGUCCUCCUCCCGGGGGACGGGCCCGAAAGGCAGCGGCGGCACCGCGUCCGGUCCUCGAGCGUAUGGGGCUUCGUCACCCGCUCUUGUAGGCCCGGCCGGCGCUUGCCGACACAUCAAUCUUUUUUCCAGGUUGGCCUCGGAUCAGGUAGGGAUACCCGCUGAACUUAAGCAUAUCAAUAAGCGGAGGA
rnacentral:misc_RNA from 1 species